CAAGUCGAGCGAGAAAAGGGGAGCAAUCCUCUGAGUAAAGCGGCGCACGGGUGAGUAACACGUGGGUAAUCUGCCCUGAAGUGGGGAAUAACACCGGGAAACCGGUGCUAAUACCGCAUAUGAUCACGGUGUCUGCGGACACAGGGAUGAAAGGAGCAAUUCGCUUCAGGAGGAGCCCGCGGCUGAUUAGCUAGUUGGUGAGGUAAUGGCUCACCAAGGCUACGAUCAGUAUCCGGUCUGAGAGGACGGUCGGACACACUGGAACUGAGACACGGUCCAGACUCCUACGGGGGGCAGCAGUGGGGAAUUUUUCGCAAUGGGGGCAACCCUGACGAAGCAACGCCGCGUGGAUGAUGAAGUAUCUCGGUACGUAAAAUCCUUUCGACAGGGAAGAAACCGCAAGGUUGACGGUACCUGUAGAAGAAGCCCCGGCUAACUCCGUGCCAGCAGCCGCGGUAAUACGGGGGGGGCUAGCGUUGUUCGGAAUUACUGGGCGUAAAGGGCGCGUAGGCGGUCUGCUAAGUUGGAUGUGAAAACUCUGGGCUUAACCCAGAGCCUGCAUUCAAUACUGACAGGCUAGAGUUCUGGAGGGGAUAGCGGAAUUCCUGGUGUAGCGGUGAAAUGCGUAGAUAUCAGGAGGAACACCGGUGGCGAAGGCGGCUAUCUGGACAGAGUCUGACGCUGAGGCGCGAAAGCUAGGGGAGCAAGCAGGAUUAGAUACCCUGGUAGUCCUAGCCCUAAACGAUGGAUACUUGGUGUAACUGGGAUUGAAUCCAGUUGUGCCGAAGCUAACGCAUUAAGUAUCCCGCCUGGGGAGUACGGU
rnacentral:rRNA from 1 species